rnacentral:rRNA from 1 species
AUGUUUCCGACGGUGAGGGUCCUUCACCUUGCCACCUCGUGCUCUGACCAUAGUCCUCUUUUGGUCCAACUUGAGUGUGUGCAGGAUAAGCGCCGUCGGGUAACUACCAUGCGUUAUGAAAUAAUGUGGGAACGCGAUCUCACACUUCCGGGUAUGAUUGCCGGGAGCUGGAAUAAGCAUAGACCGACCGGCAACCUAGGGUCGGUGGCAAAAUCGUUGAAAGAGCUGAUGAAGGAUCUGAAACAGUGGAGUUGCACACACUUUGGGAAUGUUCUGAAAGCAAUUGAGUCGCUUCGCUCACAGCUAGCAGAACUUCAAUUGUCGGGGGCAAACCGUGCUCUUCUAUGCGUCCCGACGGACAUGGAGCGGAUGGCGCACUCCUACUUCAAGGAGAUCUUCACAAAAGACCACACCCUGUCACCAGGGGAGGUUCUUGAGUGUAUUGUACCUAAGAUUUCUCGUGUGAUGGCAUGUGUAUCUUGGGUGAAGUUUAAUGGCAAGUUAUUGGAGGCUUUCUCCCCUUCCAGGGGACUCCGUCAAGGUGAUCCGUUGCCCCCCUUUCUCUUCCUUUUUGUAGCUGAUGCCCUCUCAUCUCUUAUCAACAAAGCUACGAGGGAGGAUGGUCUCAAGGGGGUAAAAAUUAGCAGAAGUUCUCCAGAGAUUUCUCAUCUUUUGUUUGCGGACGAUUCUAUCCUGUUCUUCCAUGUGACAGAGCAGCAAGCACCUUUGGAGGUGAAGGAUGUUUUGGAGAUUACUCGGGAGGUGUUUGAACCAAAAUAUUUGGGCUUGCCGGUCCCUGAGGGAAGAAUGCACAAAGGGAGUUUUGAAACUAUCAAGGACCGGUUAAGGAAGAGGCUUGUAGAUUGGAGCGAGCAAUAUAUGUCCUCGGGCAAUAAGGAGAUUCUCAUCAAAUUUGUUGCUCAGGCAUUCCAUCUUAUGUGA